CCAGGACCAUCACACUGGGGACCGGCUUCUCUGCUCUCCCGUUAUGGGGGUCGGGGGAAUGAUGGGUCAAGGGUCUUCCGAAGAAAGCGAGAAAGGAACAGGCGCCUUCAAAAGCCCACUUGGCGAUGGGUUACAGUAAGAGGUUUCCCCUCCAGGUGCAGCUUCAGAGCCAGGCGAGCCAGGAAGGACCAGCGGGCGAGGUGGAAGUCUGCAUUAUCACGAGGAGCUUGGAAAGGAGGUAACACACUCAAGGCAAAUUUCAAGUAACUCAUCCUGGAGGCAGCUGCCUACUCUGCAGCUGUGGUUCUCCACCACAGAGAGAAGAAAAGGGAGGGAGAUGGAGUGCGCAGGUCUGAGAAGGCUUUCAUUCUGGAGCAUCUGCAGGAGCCUGCACCAUGGCCCAGUAGCACCCCUUUUUCUCCAUGAGCUGCUGGUGGGUUCCCCCCUCCCGGAUAGCGCCUCCUUCCAGAAAGAGGAUGUGGUCAGCCUGCUCCACCAGGCUGAGGUGCUGGGUGAUGAGAAGCACUGAGCGGGAGUACCGCUCAGGGCUUUCGUACAGGAGCUGCUCCACCUGAGGAAAGACAUCGGACCGUCAGAGCCGGGGACUACCCUCAGCCCAGGGAGACACCUGUGUUUCCAGGGCUGGGACUGACCUCACAGGAUCACUGCUGGCUCUGCUAACAACCCCAAGGACACCAACGUUUCCCAUUCUGAGUACUUCUCCGCAAACCCUUUGUUUCAUUAAGGACUGUUUUACAUGAAGGGUGCAAAAGUAGGAUAAAAAUGAGAACCCUAGGGUGAAACACGUGACAGAAGAAUAAAGACUAUUGAAUAGUCCUCUUCUCUACCCAUGGACUUGGCAUUUUUAUAUUCGAUUUUAAGGAAAUAUAACUUAGUAGUAAAGAGAUGAGCAUUCAAGUCAGGCAGACCUGAAUUUGGGUCAAGGCUGCGCCACUCAAAAGCUAUAUGACCUCUAUAUGAGCAGCUUAUUCAACC
ensembl:lncRNA PSMB8-AS1 PSMB8 antisense RNA 1 (head to head)